UACGGAGGGUGCGAGCGUUGUCCGGAAUCACUGGGCGUAAAGGGCGCGUAGGCGGCCUGGUAAGUAGGGGGUGAAAUCCUGCGGCUUAACCGCAGGGCUGCCUUCUAAACUGUCAGGCUCGAGCACGGUAGAGGCAGAUGGAAUUCCCGGUGUAGCGGUGAAAUGCGCAGAUAUCGGGAGGAACACCGGUGGCGAAGGCGGUUCUCUGGGCCUUACCUGACGCUGAGGAGCGAAAGCGUGGGGAGCGAACAGG
rnacentral:rRNA from 1 species